AGUGAACGCUGGCGGUAGGCCUAACACAUGCAAGUCGAACGGCAGCACAGUAAGAGCUUGCUCUUACGGGUGGCGAGUGGCGGACGGGUGAGGAAUACAUCGGAAUCUACUUUUUCGUGGGGGAUAACGUAGGGAAACUUACGCUAAUACCGCAUACGACCUACGGGUGAAAGCAGGGGAUCUUCGGACCUUGCGCGAUUGAAUGAGCCGAUGUCGGAUUAGCUAGUUGGCGGGGUAAAGGCCCACCAAGGCGACGAUCCGUAGCUGGUCUGAGAGGAUGGUCCGCCCCACUGAACCUGAGCCCCGGUCCAGGCUCUUACGGACGGCCGAGGUGGGAAAUGUAGGCAACUGGGCGCAAGCCUGCUCCAGCCAUACAGGGUGGGUGAAGAAGGCCUUCGGGUUGUAAAGCCCUUUUGUUGGGAAAAAAAGCCGGCGGUUUAAACCCCGCUGUUCUGACGGUACCCAAAGAAUAAGCACCGGCUAACUUCGUG
rnacentral:rRNA from 1 species